rnacentral:rRNA from 1 species
UACGGAGGGUGCGAGCGUUGUCCGGAAUCAUUGGGCGUAAAGGGCGCGUAGGUGGACCGGUAAGCGUGCGGUGAAAGCUCGGGGCUCAACCCCGAGUCGGCCGUGCGAACUGCUGGGCUUGAGCACUGUAGAGGCAGGCGGAAUUCCGGGUGUAGCGGUGGAAUGCGUAGAGAUCCGGAAGAACACCGGUGGCAAAGGCGGCCUGCUGGGCAGUAGCUGACACUGAGGCGCGACAGCGUGGGGAGCAAACAGG